AUAUCAAUAAGCGGAGGAAAAGAAACCAACAGGGAUUGCCUCAGUAACGGCGAGUGAAGCGGCAAGAGCUCAAAUUUGAAAUCUGGCUCCUUCGGGGUCCGAGUUGUAAUUUGUAGAGGAUGCUUCGGGUGCGGCCCCCGUCUAAGUGCUCUGGAACGGGCCAUCGGAGAGGGUGAAAAUCCCGUCUGGGAUGGGGUGUCCGCGUCCAUGUGAAGCUCCUUCGACGAGUCGAGUUGUUUGGGAAUGCAGCUCUAAAUGGGUGGUAAAUUUCAUCUAAAGCUAAAUACUGGCCGGAGACCGAUAGCGCACAAGUAGAGUGAUCGAAAGAUGAAAAGCACUUUGAAAAGAGAGUUAAACAGCACGUGAAAUUGUUGAAAGGGAAGCGCUUGCGACCAGACUCGCUUCCGGGGUUCAGCCGGCUUUCGGGCCGGUGUACUUCCCCGGGGGCGGGCCAGCGUCGGUUUGGGCGGCCGGUCAAAGGCCCCUGGAAUGUAACGCCUCUCGGGGCGCCUUAUAGUCAGGGGUGUCAUGCGGCCAGCCUGGACCGAGGAACGCGCUUC
rnacentral:rRNA from 1 species